rnacentral:rRNA from 1 species
GAUUAAAAUAUUAAGUUGACUCUGCUCAAUGAAUUAAUUAAAUAGCUGCAGUAUCUUAACUGUACAAAGGUAGCAUAAUAAUUUGUUUUUUAAAUGAAAACUAGAAUGAAUGAGGUGAUGAAAUAAAAACUUUAUUAAAUUUAAUUUUAGAAUUUAAAUUUAAAGUAAAAAUUCUUUAAUAAAUUUAUGGGACGAGAAGACCCUAUAGAAUUUAAUAUAUAAUAAAUUUUUAAUAAAUUUAUGAAUAUAUUUGUUUGGGAGGAAUAUUAAAUUUUAAAACUUUAAUUUAUAAUAUACAUUUAUAUAUGAAUUUAAUAGAUUUUAAAUUUUUAAAUUAAAGAUUAAAUUACCUUAGGGAUAACAGCGUAAUAAUAUUUUAUAGUUCUUAUUGAAAAUAUUGUUU